rnacentral:tRNA from 1 species
GCUGGCGUAGCUCAGGUGGUAGAGCAGCUGAUUUGUAAUCAGCCGGUCGGGGGUUCAAAUCCCUCCGCCAGCU